GACCGCGUAGCUCAGUUGGCAGAGCAUUGGGCUAGUAUUCCAAAGGUCGUAGGUUCGAUUCCAACUGUGGCCA
rnacentral:tRNA from 1 species